GGGGCUGGCCGCUGGAGCCAGCGCUGCAUACAGCUGCCGAGGGCACCAUGAAGUUUGGUGCCCCGAAUUACGUGGUGCCCUACGAAGCAGCUGCAUAUUCUGCGUAUGCCUAAGGGCGGCCCUGCCGCAGCCCCCUGCUAGGCAAGGCCUGGGGUCCCCCCCAGCUCUGCCACUGCUUACAGUGUGCUUACGCAAUGCCGACAGACCCCGGGGGGCAGGAUCGAACCGGGGAUCUCUGGAGUAUUAGCGCAUGAGCCUCUACAAGGGGAGCUGAAAGCCAACUGUAGUGACUGUAGAGCAGACUCAUUUUAUCUCUCUCUAAGCGCUCUGGGAGCCACUAGCCAGGGCAGAACACCAGGCCCAGGAGGUGUGUGGGUUACCCUGAGGUUAUUGACAUGAACGGUGACCGUAUAGAUCAUUGUUGCAACCAAGGUCUUUUCGUGGCACCCAAUCUUGUACGAAGGCGGUCCAGUGAGGCGUCUAUGAAAAGGUUAUGAUUUGCUGGUUAUGAUUAUGCUAUCUGUAUGCACAUAUCCUUUUUGUAUUUAAAGUUAUAAGUAUUGGCUCUAUACCUCUUUCCAAAUUUGGCUCCCGGGGUAAUGCCCACGAGGUAAUCAGCCAGAUAGAUAUGCCAUGUAAGAUAUCUGCAAAAAUGUUAUUUGCCAGAUAGGAUCAUCUCAUUUAUAUGUUUGUAUUAUGAGUUAUAGGUGUUUAUGUAUGUCUGUAUUUCAAACUCGGGCUGUGCUUCUGGGUGGCACCCCAGACAGUUUGGCACCAGCUCUGCCUAGCCUGCUUGAUGGCCCAGUAAGCACCAUCAGCUGUACAAGUGACCCAUUGAGAGUAGGCAAAUAUGCCUUAUGACUCAGCAAGGCAUGCAGGACACUGCACUCGACACUUGCAAGUUAGCGCGCAUUAAGUCAGCCCCGGGCGCCCUAACUCCGGAGGUGUCCGCAUUGGCAAGGCGCUUAGAGCACCUGGACUCUGCAGCUGGAGCGCUCCCGGUACUCCACCCCCACGAGAAGCAUAACGCUGGCGCGCCCGGGUGUCUGUGUGGACGACGUGGUGCAUUACUGCGCUGUGAUCGGCCUCCGGAAACCUCCCACAGUCCCCUGAAGUCAAGUGGCCGCUCCUGCCGUGGUUUUGAACUCAGCUGCAGGCAUGGGGAUAUCCCCUUUCAACGCGCCGUUUCUGAGAGCCGGCUGCUUAUCUGCCCCGGGACAAAGCAACCCAUGGCUGUGGAAUGCUGCUGCUGGACUUUGCUACAAACUGAAGCUCUGAACAAAGGACUGAAUGACCCAUCCCAGCUGUGGGUGUUCUCCAGAGACUUGAUUUGAACCUGCAGGUUAUUCCAUCAUGGCUACAAGCCUGAACCAAGAACGUUGCCAUGAGUGUAUGGAUUUGAUUCCAUUGAACCAAUUCUGCCUCUCACCUGUAUCUUUUUCCUUUUAUGAAUAAACCUUUAGAUUUCAGAUUCUAAAGGAUUGGCAAGAGUGUGAUUUGUGGAUAAAGCCACUGCCCCUCUGGGGCGCCAGAUCCACCAGCAAAGGGAGGAGGUGCAGGACCUUGCGCGAGGGAGAUCUCAGCUCUACGUCCAGACCUGGAACAGACCCGCAGAGACCAGUGUUUGCUAAACACCCAUUCCCCAGCAACCUGGAGGAUAACAGCCCUACUACCGCUGCAAAGGGCACUCCGCUCUUAGAUCACGUGAGCCCUUCACUGUGGUGCUGGAAGUCCUGCGUUCAAAUCCUGCUCAAUAACAGCCUGUUCCCACCACUGCUACCAAGCGGCACCGGCCCUUCCGCUUGCAUAGAGGGCCGCGCAUUGACGGUGAAGGUCCAGAGCCCAAAUCCUUCCCGUCCACAUGGCAGAUAACGGCCUUACUACUGCCGCCAACACAUGGCACUGCUCCUUUAGCUCAAGCAGUAGCAUGCUGGGCUGCAGCCCCCUGCGUUCCAGUCCCACCAAGGCAGUAACCACAUUUCCACAGAGGCCAGCACGCACGGAUACCAGUGGCCAAGGAGGAGGAGCUCUCCAUAGCUCCACAAGGGCAAACUCGGGCCCCUCACGGAGCCUGGCCCUUGUUCAUCUGCCACUAAGUGGUUCCCCUGAAACGGGACAAGCUCAGCUCCGCCUGUUUGCCCUCCCUCAAGCAACCCCCACUUGCAGUUACAGCCCCUAGUAGCUGGCUUGCUGGUGGGCCCAACCGUGGAGAAGGAAAGACCCGGAGUGGGUGGAGGGCACCAGGGGGACCCUCCAGCUGAAACAGGUCUACGUUUCACUUGUGAGCCAGCAGCUGCACAGGAAGGCCCUUGACGCCAUGGCGCCCCUGACACUGCACGAGGCCGGAUCCCUGAGGAAGUUGGGCCACCCACUCCAAAGCUGAAGUAGGCCGAAGUCUGGUGGGAGUUUGGCCAACCGCUGGUGGCCAGAGCCAGAUUAAUCUAAUGUGGACCCUGGCACCCGGACCAUGGCCCCGCCCCUCGUUCUGCCCCAAAGCCCCGCCCCUGCUCAGCCGCUUUCCCCUGAGGCCCUGCCCAUUGCUCACACGGGGCAUAGGGGAUGGAGAGGAGCGAACAGCGAGCAGGGGUUUCGGGAGAAGAGGCCAAGCGGCGGUGGAGCCUCGGGGCCUAGCAGGUGUGGGGCGGGGGCACCCUUCUGAGUGUGGGCCUGGCACCAUUGACACCUUUGUAAACCUGGUACGGCUCGUGGCCCAGCAGCAGCAAAGGAAGGCCCUUGACACCAUGGCGACCCCAACUUGAGGAUGGCCAAACCCCUGUGCAAGUUUGGCCAACGACGCUGAAGCUCAAGAAGGCCGAAGCCUUCUGGCAGCUGGGCACUAACUCCAAGCCCUGCUGCAUGAUGGUGUCUAUGGAAGGCCUACGGCCCUCUUGGGAGAUGCAGGGAAGAACACAAGAUGCCAUCCCCGGUGUGACACUGCACCCCAUAUUCUUUGCAGUGAUGUUACGAUGUUAUAAUUAUGACAUAAUUAUAAUGUAUUUUAUGCAAGAUAAGUCAUGUGAGGUAUCAUUGGAAGGGCUAUGAUUUGCUGAAUAUGAUAAUCUUAUUCGUAUGCAUGUAU